AUGUCGUUAGACCUAUAAAU
rnacentral:snRNA from 1 species